rnacentral:rRNA from 1 species
GACGAACGCUGGCGGCGCGCUUAACACAUGCAAGUCGAGCGAGAACCAGGGCUUCGGCCCUGGGGACAGCGGCGAACGGGUGAGUAACACGUGGGUAAUCCACCCUCGGCACCGGAAUAGCCCGGGGAAACCCGGAUUAAUGCCGGAUGGCCCGCCGGCCCUGCGGGGCUGGCGGAAAAGGUAGCUUCGGCCUCCGGCCGAGGACGAGCCCGCGAAGGAUUAGCUUGUUGGUGGGGUAACGGCCUACCAAGGCUGCGAUCCGUAGCUGGUCUGAGAGGACGAGCAGCCACACUGGGACUGGGACACGGCCCAGACUCCUACGGGAGGCAGCAGUGGGGAAUCUUGCGCAAUGAGCGAAAGCCUGACGCAGCGACGCCGCGUGAGGGAAGAAGGCCUUCGGGUUGUAAACCUCUUUCAGGAGGGACGAAGCCACUCGGGUUAAUAGCCCAGAGGGUGACGGUACCUCCAGAAGAAGCCCCGGCUAACUACGUGCCAGCCGCCGCCGUAACAC